GAGAGAGCACAAGUAGGCAGAGAGGCAGGCAGAGGGAGAGGGAGAAGCAGACUCUCCACCGAGCAGGGAGCCCGACGUAGGGCUCGAUCCCAGGACCCUGGGAUCAUGACCUGAGCCGAAGGCAGAUGCUUAACCGACUGAGCCACCCAGAUUAUAUUGGACGUUUACCCAGCUGGUGUCUCCUGAGUCAGGCUUGAAGAGCUCUGAGAAGAAACUCCUCACAAGCAAAACAAGACUACAUCAGAGAGCCUCGAUCUUCACAUUUUGUGGGCAAUGACAGUUCUCAUCAAGAGAACCAUUUUUACCUUGUGGAAACCGAUGUGAUCUAUACUGGACCAGAAGAAAGAACAAGGAACCAACUAGGAGCCAAAGAACAUUGCUGGUCCACCACCAACAGCUGAUUAUCAAGAUUACAUCUUGUAUUUGGCCAAAAAAAAAAAAAAAAUCAGCGACACAUUGAAAACUUGAAGCAUGAGCCUACAGCUGUGCACCCUGCACAGCUGACUGAAGACCAUAAGGUCAAGCACUAAGAACAAAUCUGGGCAGUGACAUCCAUGUCUAGUCUGCAAAUCAUCUGACUUUCAGGGCCAAGGAUGACAAAGUCCCACUUCGUGGCAGGGAAACGUCCCAUGAUCUGAAUCCUCUCAAAGUUUUUGUUGCAGCUUUUUUUUGAAGUUUUAAGAAGUUACGACUUCCCCCACACUGGUGCAUUGGCAUAAUACCCCCACGCCUGCAGGUCCCAGCACCAUUGUUACCACACUGUUUUGAUGGGCUCCACAUUCGCAGCUCUCCAAGGAUCCGUGACUGAGUUGAAUGAAAGCUUUGCUACUUGGCAGAAGUAGCAAGAACACAUAAAACCUGCCAGCUGUCAAGGAUGUAAAUGGUGAUUUUGUUUCACUUUUUAAUGAAUUAAAGCAGGAUUGAAAUCAAUCCAAAGACAGCAUGUUUGGCCUUUUAAAGGGAAAAAAAAAAUGGAA